rnacentral:lncRNA from 1 species
AUGAGAUCAACUAAAUCAAAAGUGUUCUCCAAAAGAGGAAUGAUACAGAAAACCACUCCUCACUGUUGCUUGGCUUGCUCCUCCUUAAAAUUUCUAGCAAUCAGGAAAAAUCUCCGUAGGUCUAUUACUCAUUGCUUAGUUGGCCUUUCACACUGUAUUAUUUCUCUCACCUCUAACCUAAUUCUCCCUUAUUGCAAUCUUUUCUGUUUUUCAGAGAUUAUCGAAAACAAUUCAUUGUCUGCUUCCACAAAACAUCUCUCUGAAAAUCUGAGAACAGCUAUUGAACCUUCUCCUAGUCUUUCCCCUCCUGGAUUAAGCUUUGCAAGCUCAGUUCUUGCAAAGUCUUAUGCUAGAAAAGUUUUUUUAAGUUCAUUCUUAUUUCAGGUUCUGGGACUUUCUCCAGCUGGUUCAUGUAUUGUAUUGACAUGUGAUAACCUGCAGUGGUCACAGGGAUCCAGAAUUCAUCACCCAUAAAUUUUGAGUUGCCCAUCGUUAUACAACUCCCUUGAUUUCUCUGGAAGCCAAACAGAAGGUCAGAGUUUUUCCCACGUGGAGCAAUUUCUGCACUGAUGCUUCUUCUGGAAUCCACAGCCCUUUCUGCACAGCAGUUAAUGAACUGAGAUCCAAGAGAAACGUGAGUUUAUGUUCUAAAUGAUGGCUCUGAUUAGCAUGCAAGAACACUUAAAUGAAAAAUACUGAUGAAAGCAUACAUAUUUUCCACUGAAAGCUUCUUUAUUUUAUAUUCAUGCUUCAGAGAACAUAACUCUCACUAUGGAAUACUUGCAUAAUGUGAAUGCUGGAACGUGUGCGAAAUGUGAAUGCUGGAACAUUUCUGUCACAUCAUGAGAAGCUGGCCUGAGUCUGUCCAUUCUCUGUACCUGGGAGUGAUCUCUUGGAGCACUCACUCGAUCUGUACACUGUGCAUUUCAUUUUCUAUAGUUUAUUUUAGUUUUGUAGUAUUUUUUAAUCCUGUAGUCUUCAAGAAAGUUUUGUCCUGCUGGGGUUUGGAUUCAGCCAGAGCUUAUUGAUACACAUAGGUUUUAUGGGGACUUGCACAGAUCUUAGUGAGAGAAGCACAAACUGCAGAAGGGUUUGGAAACACAUUAGUCUUACGAAAAAUGGCAUAUGAAAAUUUAUAAUCUACCUUCACUUUAAUCUCUUAAUGGAAAAAAUCCUGCAUGUGUAGAAGUAGGGGGUUCACAAUGGCUAAUUUAGCCUUUUUUUUGGUCUGAAAGUGUCCUUGUGCUUGGUAGCAAGAGAGGCUCUGGCAGAGGGUGUUUCAAAGCAGGAGAUAUUGCAUAAGGAAGUUAACCCCUGAGGCCAAGGAUGGCCUUUAUAAAUACCCUUCACUAAAACAUUCAUAUUUUUUCUCAAAUGUGGUAUACAAACCUGAAUUUAUCUGCCUUAGGAGCUGAUUAGACACCUUGUAAAAGCCAGAAUUAUGUACCCAAUUAAAGUGUUUGUUUCUAAGAGA